CCUAACAGUGGGAGCGGGCAUGUC
rnacentral:piRNA from 1 species